UACGGGGGGAGCAAGCGUUGUUCGGAUUUACUGGGCGUAAAGGGCGCGUAGGCGGCCAGCACAAGUCAGUUGUGAAAUCUCCGAGCUUAACUCGGAAAGGUCAACUGAUACUGUGCGGCUAGAGUGCGGAAGGGGCAACUGGAAUUCUUGGUGUAGCGGUGAAAUGCGUAGAUAUCAAGAGGAACACCGGUGGCGAAGGCGGCGUCCUGGACCAAUACUGACACUGAGGAGCGAAAGCCAGGGGAGCAAACGGG
rnacentral:rRNA from 1 species